rfam:Hepatitis C virus subtype 6n isolate KM42, complete genome
CCGUUGCGUGGCGUGACUACCCUCGACUUGUCGGGGUGGUUUACGUCAGGCUACAGCGGGGGGGACAUUUAUCACAGCGUGUCCCGAGCUCGACCCCGCAUAUUACUCCUGUGCCUACUCCUACUCACCGUAGGGGUAGGCAUCUUUUCACUACCCGCUCGGUAGACGGGUAGCUUA